UCCGCCCUCCUUCUUCCUACAACAAUGAACUGUGUUACAAAUAUCUAUGAACUUUAAGGGAGUUAACUAGUUAGCUGAGGUUCAGGAGCGGCGCCGCGCCUCAACCAAUCACCUGACUUCUCAAAUCCUACAGUACUGUUUGUCUUGUUCUCUUGAACCCUCCCUUCCCCUCCCACUCUCUUAUCCAUUCAACCAUCCUUAUCAUCCCCUCUUCUCUUCCUUUCCAGGUUGUAUCGGGGGUCCUAAUCACUCAGAUCAACCUGACUAUCAUCCCUUUCCUUCCCCUUCAUCCUCUCCCUAUUUAUCCCUAACUUUCUUCAGUAAAUAAUUCUCCAACAUUCAUGGAUGUGGUGUGGUCCUUGAUCGUGAAAUGUCCUUUAAAUCGAAAAGUGGAUCAGUAUGACUUUGUCAUCAUGCUGUGUGCCGGAGAUCUCCAGUGCUUCUGGCACUUUGCUCACUAUGGUGAGAGCUUCUACUUACACUUCAUGGUCCAGCUGGUGACUGUGUGGCCCUUGAUAGACAUCUGUCUGUGAUUGUUAAUGCUCCGAGCGGAUUAAUAAUCGGCACAGCUGACGAUGAAAGUGCUCAGAUUGUCUUCAGUGUUGAGGAGACUGGUGAGUCUCACCUUGAUACGUGUUUUAGUACAUCUGCUGCCCACGUUAUGAACAGAAAAAUCAUCUGUUUCUAGAAUUCAGAGGAUUUCAUGUGGACCAUGCAGUGAA